UACGUAGGGUGCGAGCGUUGUCCGGAAUUAUUGGGCGUAAAGAGCUUGUAGGCGGUUUGUCGCGUCCGCCGUGAAAACCCGAGGCUCAACCUCGGGCCUGCAGUGGGUACGGGCAGACUAGAGUGCGGUAGGGGAGAUUGGAAUUCCUGGUGUAGCGGUGGAAUGCGCAGAUAUCAGGAGGAACACCGAUGGCGAAGGCAGAUCUCUGGGCCGUAACUGACGCUGAGGAGCGAAAGCGUGGGGAGCGAACAGG
rnacentral:rRNA from 1 species